UGCCGCASUAACGCAAUAAGUAUCCCGGCUGGGAAGUACGGCCGCAAGGUUGAAAGUCAAAGGAAUUGACGGGGGCCCGCACAAGCGGUGGAGCAUGUGGUUUAAUUCGACGCAACGCGAAGUUCCUUACCCAGGCUGGACAUGCAGGUAGUAGAAGGGUGAAAGCCUAACGAGGUAGAAAUACCAUCCUGCUCAGGUGCUGCAUGGCUGUCGUCAGCUCGUGCCGUCAGGUGUUGGGUUAAGUCCCGCAACGAGCGCAACCCCUGUCUUGAGUUACUAACAGGUCAAGCUGAGAACUCUGGAGAGACUGCCCAGGAGAACGGGGAGGAAGGUGGGGAUGACGUCAAGUCAGCAUGGCCUUUAUGCCUGGGGCUACACACGUGCUACAAUGGCCGGUACAAAGGGCUGCAAACCCGCGAGGGGGGAGCCAAUCCCAAAAAACCGGCCUCAGUUCAGAUUGGGGUCUGCAACUCGACCCCAUGAAGGCGGAAUCGCUAGUAAUCGCGGAUCAGCACGCCGCGGUGAAUACGUUCCCGGGCGUUGUACACACCGCCCGUCACACCACGAAAGUUUGUUGUACCUGAAGUCGUUGYGCCAAGCGCAAGGAGGCAGGC
rnacentral:rRNA from 1 species